rnacentral:tRNA from 1 species
AGUGGAAUGACUGAGAUAAUUAAUAGGUGAUAAAUUGUAAAUUUAUUUAGGAGUUAAUAAAUACUCUUCUACUA